CGGCCUGAGGUCGGACGAGGCUACCCGCUGAAUUUAAGCAUAUUACUAAGCGGAGGAAAAGAAACUAACGAGGAUUCCCUCAGUAACGGCGAGAGAAGCGGGACGAGCCCAGCGCCGAAUGAAA
rnacentral:ncRNA from 1 species